GAUCCCCUUGGGAGGGAAGUUGAAUCCUUCAGUCCAGGCCCUAGCUGGAUUGGCUCUGGUGAGCCGGAUGGGGCUGUGACCUGGGUCGGGUCAUAAAGCUGUGACCCUGGGUCAUCUGGGCUGUGCUUUGAUGAUCUGUCACCACAUCAGCCAAGGCCCAGGGAGCUACUGCUGAGGGCCAGAGACGUAAUCUGCCAGGUCCACACCCUAGAUCUUUCACUAGUAUUUACCAGAGGGAAGAAAGACAUCAGAAAGCCCCAGUGACCAUGGUUCUUUCCAGGCACUUGUGGGGAGGGAUGAACAUGUUUAAUGAGCAGAGAUGUAUCCAGGCCAUGUAGUUAUUUGAAGACAGGAGUUGGAUACGGCCCCUCUGGGUUUAGAUCUUUAGUCAGAAGAUGAAGAGUAGGAAAUUUUGGACAGACAGCUCUGCUUUCCUGUCUCCCUGGGUUGACCCUGAACUUGGUUCUACCCUGCUUCUCGGAGGGUCCGGGGGCAUCAAGCCCCUUGGCCUCAGAGGUAACCCACUCAUUGUUAUCCCUAUUGCCUUUGCUUCCUUCCCUGACCUGAUUCACUCAUGCUUUCUGAGAUUCCUCCCUCCUUCCCCAAGUAAGCCCACUGUACCCCAGAUCUCUUUAUGGGGUCUGCUUUGGGGAGUCUGAAUCAAGACUUGGCCUUAAUGACUUGGAUCUGCUGUUUAGUCCCAGGUCCCACCAGGCCACCCCUCAGUCAGUUUAUUUAAAAUCCCCAAGUAACAUCUUGCUGUUGUUCUUGGGAGGCAGAGUCUCACUCUGUCCUAAGUCUUGCUAUGGGGACCAGCAGGCCUACAACUUGUGGCAAUUCUCCUGUCUCUGCUUCUCACAGACCUUCAAAGUCAUUUGUCCCUGGUCUGAGUGGCUGCGAGGACACCAUGAAAUGAGACCUUUUUUGCUAAGGCAGGGUAUGGAGCCAUCUAUUGAUCUGCUUUUGAGUGUGAACAGAGGUUUCCCUGGAGGGCUUCUCUCUGCCUCCAAAGUCACCUAGGUGGGUGGAGCAUAUGUACAGUGGUUGCAGGUGUUGGCAUGUGAAGCCCAGAAACAGGGAUACUCUUAGGGGUAGGAAAGGAGACCCCCUUGCCUGUGUCUGGUAGAUGCUCAUGCAGAACAAAGGCUGUUUCCAAGGACAGAGGGCGCAUGCCCAAAGCUGUCCUGAUGGACAGCCCUCCUUGAGGGAUGUCCUGAACUUGCUCCAUGAGGUCCAGUGAUUGGAGUCAUGGAAGGACAGGAAAAAGCCAAGUGAGCAGAGGGGUUCAGAGCCAGAACUGUGGAGUCAGGCUGCCUGGAUCCUGGCCCCACCCCUUCCUAUGUGGGUGACAUUUGAGCAGUUCCUUGGCAUCCCUGGGUCUCAGUGUCUGCAUCUGAAGCUUGGGGAACCCUCACAGGCUUAUGCUACCAAGAUGGCAGCUCAUGACAACCGUCCCUGGACAGGGGAGAUGUACUCCACCACAUGCAGCAGAAGAUAGCUUCCGAAAGACCGAUAUACAUUGGGUAAGAUGAAGGAGGUCUCCCCUGAUUGCUUCGCUGCCAGAUGUCCUUGGAAUUUCAGCUCUGAGGAGCUCACUGGAAGGACUGGAGACUGAAAGAUUUUUGCCCACAGCCCUUCCUCAUUCUUUACAAAGGGAUUCACGCAGCGAUCACUGGUCAAGAGAACAGGCAUGGGGUGGGGCUAGUGAAGUUGGAACCCUGGGUUCUUCUUCUUGUUCACCCCAUGAUGUGGAGCGCACUAUAGGACAAUUAGGAAAUCCAGUCUCUGCAGGAGGAAAGCAUGGAGAUGUAAUAAAUACGUUUACCUACAUUGGCCUGGGACCGCAGCUCUCCAUCUAGAUGCUGCAGCAGGGCCAGGUUUGACUCAAGCGUGGAUGACCAUCACUCGAUUUGCUGUAGUCAUAUGGGUUCUGGGACAAGAUUGCCUGCGUUGAAAUCUCAGCUCUCUCUCGUAUUUGAAUCCAGAUAAACAGCUUAA